rnacentral:rRNA from 1 species
UACGGAGGAUGCAAGCGUUAUCCGGAUUUAUUAGGUUUAAAGGGUGCGUAGGCGGAAACUUAAGUCAGUGGUAAAAGGCAAUAGCUUAACUACUGUAAGCCAUUGAUACUGGGUUUCUUGAGUACGGUAGAGGUAGGCGGAAUGUGUUGUGUAGCGGUGAAAUGCAUAGAUAUAACACAGAACACCAAUUGCGAAGGCAGCUUACUAUUCCGAUACUGACGCUGAUGCACGAAAGCGUGGGGAUCAAACAGGAUUAGAUACCCUGGUAGUCCACGCUGUAAACGAUGAUCACUCGUUGUUGGCGAUACACAGUCAGCGACUGAGCGAAAGCAUUAAGUGAUCCACCUGGGGAGUACGUUCGCAAGAAUGAA